GCGGCCUGUGCCUGCCGCCGUGCGGCGGUGCGACCUCCGCGGACAUGGAGGCGGCGGCGCGGCGGCGGCAGGCGCAGCAGCAGCAGCGGGGCGCGGCGGCGGAUGGCGGGCAGGCGCUGUCGCUCUCGGGGCAGUCCUACUGGCUGGAUCUCUGGCUCUUCGUCCUCUUCGACCUGGCGCUCUUCCUGGUCAUCUACCUGCUGCCCUGAGGUCGUCGGGCUCAGCUCAGCCGACGGCGGGGAGCGGAGCCCCUGUCUAAUCACAGGAUGCACCUUAAAGAAAAGACACUGUGGAAGAGGGUCUUAAUGAAAAGACACUUGUGCUGUAGAAACACCUGGGACCACGACAUCACUUGCAUCUGAAUGCGAGGCAUAUCUAUACAUGAUACCAUACUAUUUGUCUGGCUGUGUCAAGUAUUACUGUUCAGGUUUUUACCUGUAUCCUAUUUCUGUGUUCUAAACUGUGCCUUAAAGGUCACAUAAAACAGCAUGACUGCUUUAGUAAUUAGUGCCUAAGGGUUUGUAAAGCAGAAAUGGAAAGGUGUACUGUUUUAAUAAAAUCAAGUGAAAAGACAAAGCAUGGAGUGGAUAAGAAUAAAAUUCAUCUGUUACAAAGACAUAA